UUGAAAGGGAAACGAUUGAAGUCAGUCAUGCUAGCGAGGAAUCAACUUNUGUGUGAGUCUCUCAUCUCCUCCUUCACUUCCUCUCUACANUUACCAUCAAUUUUAUUUCAUCAAAUAAUUUNUAAUUGCUUCUCUUCCUAAUUUAUAACCCCNUAAUUGCAUUGAUUAUAUUCACCAUCCUCUUNCUAUCACCUAUUCCUGCUUCACCUCCUUUCACACUUCUACAUUUGACUCNCGUCUANUUCNUCUNUCAUAAAUUCGUUAAGGAUGUUGACGUA
rnacentral:rRNA from 1 species